UGAUUUCCUUGCUUAUUAGGUAGGAAUAAUUAAUCCCUACUACUUAUGAGGUAAUUCGUAUAAAAUGCUUAGUACCUGACGUGGGCACUUUGGAGAUGCUUAAUAAACAUUAGGUGUUUUGAUGGUAAUGGGUUCUGAGAAAGGGAGGAAACUGUUUUCUUCCACGAAUUUCUGUAAUUAUAGGAAGUACACCCUGAUAGUUAACACUUCUUCAGAACUUAUUAUAUAUCUGUUGCUGUUAUAAGUGUUUUGCCUAUAUUUAUUAACUCUUUUAAUCCUCUUAACAAUCUUGUGAGGUAAGUACUAUUAUUAUUAUUUCCAUUUUCCAGACGAGAACUGAGGUACAGAGAGGUCAAGGGACUUGUCCAAGGCCAUACAGCAAAUAAUGGAUUUUGAAUCCAGAUCGGCUGCUCCAGAGACUGUGUUAUAACCACUGGCCCCAGCCUGUUCCCCUUCAGCCCUGUUGCAGUUUUCAUCUUCCAAGAAAGAGAGCUGAGUUUGCAGAGCAACCAAUUAACCUGAAUUCCAAAGAAGGACGGGAGCCUCCGAGAAGAAAUGGGACACAGGCGCUGGCACGCUUGUGAAACAGGAGGAAGACGGGGCCUCCAUUCAGACAGGUUGAUGUUUUUCCCUGAAGAAAUGUAAUUAAUCCAAAGUAAGGAAAAAAAAAAAA